rnacentral:misc_RNA from 1 species
GGUGGCCGGAUCGGCCGGAUUUUGACCGGAGAAGCCGAAACGCCGCGCGCGCAGGGGAGGGCGUUUCGCGCGCGGUUUCCGGCCGUUCUGGGCGGCGGCCGGCUGGCUGGGGUGGCAGGGUGGCGGCGCCGGUCGGCUGGGGUGGCAGGGGGAGGUGGCUGGCCGACGGCAGGGGAGGGAGGAGAGAGAAAAGAGAGAGAGAAGGGGAGGAGGUCGGGACGCGCGGAAGAAAAGAGAAGAAGAAAAAGGAGCCGGUCCGAUUCGACCGGUAAGAUCCGGUCCGGAUCGAUUCGGCCGGUUCGAUUCGGAAUACAAAAUUUUGAAUUUUUACU